UGUCGUCAGCUCGUGUUGUGAAAUGUUGGGUUAAGUCCCGCAACGAGCGCAACCCUUAUCCUUUGUUGCCAGCGGUCCGGCCGGGAACUCAAAGGAGACUGCCAGUGAUAAACUGGAGGAAGGUGGGGAUGACGUCAAGUCAUCAUGGCCCUUACGACCAGGGCUACACACGUGCUACAAUGGCGCAUACAAAGAGAAGCGACCUCGCGAGAGCAAGCGGACCUCAUAAAGUGCGUCGUAGUCCGGAUUGGAGUCUGCAACUCGACUCCAUGAAGUCGGAAUCGCUA
rnacentral:rRNA from 1 species